ACGGAGAGUUUGAUCCUGGCUCAGGACGAACGCUGGCGGCGUGCCUCAAACAUGCAAGUCGAGCGGGGGUUGGUCGCGGGGCAACUCGCGAUCAACUCUAGCGGCGAACGGGUGAGUAACACGUGGGCAACCUGCCCCGCAGAUGGGGAUACCCUCGGGAAACCGGGGCUAAUACCCGGUACGUUCCUCGGGCGGCAUCGCCUGGGGAGGAAAGUCGCAAGACACUGUGGGAUGGGCCCGCGGCCUAUCAGCUAGUUGGUGAGGUAACGGCCCACCAAGGCUACGACGGGUAGCUGGUCUGAGAGGAUGGUCAGCCACACUGGGACUGAGACACGGCCCAGACUCCUACGGGAGGCA
rnacentral:rRNA from 1 species